rnacentral:lncRNA from 1 species
GCACUACCAAAUUUUUUAAUCUAUUAAUUGUUACAAGCAAAGUGAUUUUUCUGUUAUUUUGCUACUUUAAUAAAUGAACGGAGUUCCAAUGUCUCCUGUGUUGAACAUAUUUUAUAUUUCCUAGGGGAUUAACUCUUUUCGAUAAAAUGCUUCACCAAGUGCAGCUGGAUACGACCACAGAAGUGAAAAUGGUUAUAGGAUUUGAAUUUAUAUUCAAUUGAAGAUUUCUUGAAUUGCUUUUGUGCAAUACACUGUGCUGUUGCGCAAUACUUAGUAAAUCUGUUUUCAGACUAUAUCCAACAAGGCCAUUUUCCAUAAAUUUAAUAUUCCCAAGGGGAAUAACUCUAUCAAAAAAAAGUCUAUCGGCCACCAUUGAUAUAGAAUUGUCUAAGACAUUCCUGAUUUUAACCAAUAGUAUAAGUUUUUUCACCGUACUAGGUAUAGAAAUAAGAAAAAAGAAUUCUUAUACAAAAAUUCAAACAUUUGUUGAAAACAAAGUGCAUUCCCCAUUAAGAUAAUUGUAAACA